CCAUUCAGUUAGCCACUGAGUACUUAACAACUGUGCCACCACGUGUUGGCGAGGAUGUGGAGAAAUUGGAAUCCUUA
rnacentral:miRNA from 1 species